AUGCGUCUACCACACGGGAUUAGCGCGGAUCAUGUUUGGAUUUAUUUUAUUACAAGAGUAUGCUGCUUCCCGAGGACGCUGCCUUGUGUGCACUGCGAUAUAUUCGUGAGCCUAUACACACUACAUACAAGUAAACAGUGGCAGCUGCAAGCGAUGAAGCGCCGGAGCUCCCCCAUGGCAGCAGCUGUCCCCAUCUUGAUCCUCUCCGCCAUGGCCAUAGUGUCUGCAGCCGCAGCAAAUGUCGAGCACACGUUCCUGGUGAGCCAGGUAAAUAUGACGCACUUGUGCAAAGAGAUGCUGGUCACAGUGGUGAACGGGCAGCUUCCGGGGCCGACGAUAGAGGUCACUGAGGGAGACUCGGUGACCAUUCAUGUUAUCAACAGGUCGCCCUACAACAUUACAAUCCAUUGGCAUGGAGUGUUGCAGCUGCUAAACUGUUGGAACGACGGGGUGCCGAUGAUCACACAACGCCCCAUCCAGCCAAACCACAACUUCACCUACCAGUUCGACGUUGCCGGGCAGGUAGGCACCCUGUGGUGGCAUGCUCAUGACGCCUUCCUCCGGGCAACCGUGCACGGCGCUUUGGUCAUAUGGCCCAGAGACGGCACAGGCUCCUAUCCGUUUCCUAAGCCUCACAUGGAGGUCCCAAUUAUCAUAGGGGAGUGGUGGGAGAAGGACCUUGCACAGUUGGACAGGAACUUUAGUAAGGGUUACCUUGAUGAAUUCUCGAGUGGGUCCACAAUCAACGGCAAGCUUGGAGAUCUCUUCAAUUGCUCCGGCGUGUUGGAAGAUGGCUACGUGCUGGACGUGGAGCCUGGCAAGACGUACCUGCUGCGAUUAAUCAACGCGGCGCUCUUCUCCGAGUACUUCCUCAAGAUCGCCGGCCACAAGUUCAUGGUGGUCGCCAGCGAUGCCAACUACGUCAACCCCUACACCACGGAUGUCAUCGUGAUCGCGCCAGGUGAGACGGUGGACGCCAUUGUCAUUGCUGACGCGGCCCCCGGCAGGUACUACAUGGUCGCCCUGCCCAUCCAAGCGCCUCCGCCCGACCUGCAGACGCCCGAGUACACCACCAGAGGGAUGGUUGAGUACAGCAGCGUCAAUACCUCAAGGCGUGACGAUGUUCCUGCCGUAGCACCUGAGAUGCCUAACCAGCAUGACACGAUCAAGUCUUUCUACUUCCACGGCAACCUGAGCAGCCUUCGCCAAGAGCAGCGCGCGCAGGUGCCGGUGCGCGCCGACGAGCACCUCUUCAUCACGCUCGGCUUGGGCUCUAUCUGCCGGCGAAACGGCCAGUCCUGCAAGAGGGGGGGCAAUCUGGAGAGCAUGCUAGUGGCCAACAUGAACAACAUCUCCUUCCAUCUCCCAGCUGCGAUGACUACUCCGUUCCUCCAAGCGCACUACUACGGCUGCGCCCCCGCGGGCACGGGCACGAGGGAGCUUGCUGACCGGCCGCCAAGGGCGUUUAACUACACCGACGGCGCCCUUAUCACGUUCGGGCCCGAGGAGAUGCUGCUGGAGCCGACGUCCAGGGCAACUGUGGUGCGGCGGUUCAGGCACGGCACAGCGGUGGACGUGGUGUUCCAAGGCACGGCGAUGCUUCAGGGCGAUUCCAACCCGAUGCACCUGCACGGCCAUGACAUGUUCGUGCUCGCGCAGGGGCUCGGCAACUACGACGCUGCCAGGGAUUCGGCGAGGUACAACCUAGUGAACCCGCCCAGGAAGAACACCGUCCUCGUCCCUAGUCUUGGGUGGGCGGCCGUUCGAUUCGUGGCAGACAAUCCAGGAACAUGGCUCAUACAUUGCCACUAUGAGUUCCAUUUGUCGAUGGGCAUGGCUGCAGUAUUCAUUGUAGAGGAUGGGCCAACAGUGGAUACGUCCCUCCCUCCACCGCCUCGGUAUUUCUUGGAGGCGUCGACUUCCGUGAGCAGCAGCUCCUCCUCUGGCGGGCAGCAGCUCUUCAAUUCUGUCUCUGCACACUGCACAACACCUACUAAUAAUACUGAUCCCAGUAAGGCUGCUCAUAGUGGAUAG
rnacentral:rRNA from 1 species